rnacentral:tRNA from 1 species
GGCCGGUUAGCACAGUCGGUUAAAGCGUCGUGCUUAUACCGCGAAUGUCGUGGGUUCGACCCUCACACUGGCCA